GAAUAGGUUAGCACCAUCUUCUCAAUUUUGUUGUCCAGAUCAUAAUCUUCUUGUGUCAUUUCAAGAAGUUUACCAUGUGUACAGCCAUCAUGCACAAGGAACAUUCUUCAACCUUUCCGAUUCUUCAUCCUUUUCGAAUAUUUUGUCACCCAAAAUGUCUUUGGCCCAUACUUCACACUCGCUCUAAGUUUCCAACCACAUCCUUGCACACGACACUUAGCCACAUACAGAGUUUUUGUUGUCUUAUAUGCUGAAAAUGUAAAAUUAUAUUCCACAGUCACCGACUUCAGCUUUGAAACAAGCUCAGCCUUACUAGCAAAACUAUAAACGAAGACUUAGAAAUACGUCUACAAUUAUUAGCUAACAACAUUGUCAAAUCAAAUGAAUUAUACCUUCAUAAUUAUAAAAAAAAAAAAAUUAUUUUCAAAAUCACUCAAACCCAUUAGGAUUAACUAACACACACUGUCAAACAAAAAAACUAAAAAAUAUUUAAUGAAUAAUACACAAAUUCACAUUUUUAUAGAUUUUUCUAUGAAGACUUAAUAUUUAGUCUCUGAAGAUGUUGACGUUCUUUUCAGUUUACAGACGUAGACUGUCAAAUAGGUCUACUCUUUGGGUUGGUUUUUGCAAUUGACCAUUUU
rnacentral:lncRNA from 1 species